rnacentral:misc_RNA from 1 species
AACUUCUCAUCUUCUCCUGUGAGGACAUCAUCUUUUGGAUUUGAUCCAUCUGGGGUAGCGGCAGCAGCAGUUUUGAAUUCAAGGUCUGCUGCCUUUGCAAAGCGGAGCCAGAGUUUCAUUGAACGAAAUGCUGUGAACCGUCAUACUGGUUUUUCUUCACCAACUUCUUCACCAACUAUAAUGCCUUCUAAUCUAUCGGAUUGGGGUUCCCCCGAUGGCAAAUUGGAAUGGGGUAUUCAAGGAGAAGAGCUUAAUAAACUGCGCAAGUCUGCUUCUUUUGGCAUUCGAAGCAA